UACGGGGGGGGCAAGCGUUGUUCGGAAUUACUGGGCGUAAAGGGCUCGUAGGCGGCCAACUAAGUCAGACGUGAAAUCCCUCGGCUUAACCGGGGAACUGCGUCUGAUACUGGAUGGCUCGAGUUUGGGAGAGGGAUGCGGAAUUCCAGGUGUAGCGGUGAAAUGCGUAGAUAUCUGGAGGAACACCGGUGGCGAAGGCGGCAUCCUGGACCAACGCUGACGCUGAGGAGCGAAAGCCAGGGGAGCAAACGGG
rnacentral:rRNA from 1 species